rnacentral:rRNA from 1 species
UACGUAGGGUGCAAGCGUUAAUCGGAAUUACUGGGCGUAAAGCGUGCGCAGGUGGCUGAGCAAGUCGAGUGUGAAAUCCCCGGGCCUAACCUGGAAACUGCAUUUGAGACUGCAUAGCUAGAGUUUGUCAGAGGGGGGUGGAAUUCCACGUGUAGCAGUGAAAUGCGUAGAUAUGUGGAGGAACACCGAUGGCGAAGGCAGCCCCCUGGGAUGUGACUGACGCUAAUGUACGAAAGCGUGGGGAGCAAACAGG